rnacentral:rRNA from 1 species
GCCAGACUCCUACGGGAGGCAGCAGUAGGGAAUCUUUCACAAUGGGCGAAAGCCUGAUGGAGCAACGCCGCGUGCAGGAUGAAGGCCUUCGGGUUGUAAACUGCUUUUAUAAGCGAGAAAUAUGAUGGUAACUUAUGAAUAAGGAUCGGCUAACUCCGUGCCAGCAGCCGCGGUAAUACGGAGGAUGCGAGCGUUAUCCGGAUUUAUUGGGUUUAAAGGGUGCGCAGGCGGCACGGCAAGCCGGCGGUCAAAUCGCGGGGCUCAACCCCGCCCAGCCGUCGGAACUGCCGGGCUAGAGUGGGCGAGAAGUGCGCGGAAUGCGUGGUGUAGCGGUGAAAUGCAUAGAUAUCACGCAGAACUCCGAUUGCGAAGGCAGCAUACCGGCGCCCAACUGACGCUCAGGCACGAAAGCGUGGGUAUCGAACAGGAUUAGAUACCCCGGUAAC